UUAAUUAAAUCUGUGCUUUAGGUGUACUCUGGCCUUUUUCCAGCAGCCUAAACUGAAAGCCUAUUUUUUUUUUUUUGAAAGCUGCAUUUUAAGGCCAUCAAAUUUCUUCCUAAUCUGUAUCAAAUUGCCUUUAGGUCCUGGAUCCUUUGUCUUUAUUCCUGUGUAUUGGGCUUAAUUUAGUGACGUUUAUGUAUUUAUCGGUACAAUUCAAAGGGCUGGGAGCAUUGUGGUCCACAGGAGAGGCCUUCGCUGGCUGCACUGGAGAGAGGUUUUGGGCUCUGCUGGGCAGGGUGUGAAGAGGAGAGCACAAAGCGGGCCUUCGGGCUCCUGCAUACGGAAAAUACAUCACCAUCUCCUGUCUUUUCAGAGCAAAAUCUGGAGCGGCAGGUGUUACAGACACAAUGUAGACGACUGGAGGCCCGGCACUACAGCCUCAGCCUGACGGCAGAGCAGCUCUCCCACAGCGUGGCGGAGUUGAGGAGCCAGAAACAGAAGAUGGUCUCAGAAAGGGAGCGGCUCCAGGCAGAACUGGACCACUUACGAAAGUGCCUUGCCUUGCCUGC
rnacentral:lncRNA from 1 species